rnacentral:rRNA from 1 species
GACGAACGCUGGCGGCGUGCCUAAUACAUGCAAGUCGAACGCAGUGGGGACGGGUGAGUAACAUGUGGGUAACCUCCCAUCAGAGGGGAUAACACUUUGAAACAGGUGCUAAACCGAUACUGAUGGCUGGUCCCGCGGUGCAUUAGCUAGUUGGUGAGGUAACGGCUCACCAAGGCGAAGAUGCAUAGCCGAGCUGGGAGGGUGGUCGGCCAAACUGGGACUGAGACACGGCCCAGACUCCUACGGGAGGCAGCAGUAGGGAAUCUUCGGCAAUGGACGAAAGUCUGACCGAGCAACGCCGCGUGAGUGAAGAAGGUUUUCGGAUCGUAAAACUCUGUUGUUAGGGAAGCGGGAUCUAACCAGAAAGCCACGGCUAACUACGUGCCAGCCGCCGCGGUAAUAC